UGCCAACCAGUUUCUUUAAUGGUAGCACUUUUGAUCUGACGGCAACACCUAGUUCCUCUGUCAACAUUGUAGCGUUCAUCCUCUGCUCCGCAUAGAGUGGCCAAACCAUCAUCGGUACUCCAUUGGUGAUGCUCUCGAGGCUUGAGUUCCAUCCAUAGUGUGAUCAAAAUACUCUUAUUGAUGGAUGACUUAAAAUGUCCACUUGUGGCGCCCAAAGAGGCACAACCAACCCAACGUUACGGGUCCGGGUCAAGAAUUCUUUGGGCAAAUAGGUUGAUGGGUCAUCGUCUCGGUUUCCUUAAAUAAAGAUAUUAAAUUUAAGUGAAAGUAUCGAUUGUAACACAAUAUCAAUAAUUUAUCAAAUACUAUAAAUUAGUACAUUUACGCAGAUAAGAGUUUCUAUGAAGGUAACAAAUAAAAAUUGAUGAUAUAUAUUUGGUAAGUUUGAAAAUCACCUGAAGUGAAAAAAGCAGCAUCUAUGGAUUUAGCUGGUGGUAGUACAACCCAAAUGAAUCUUUGUUUACUCAACUCCAAACCCCAAGCCAUUUUUAUCAUCUGCUCCAAGGACACAGUCCCUCCACUCCCUAAUGACAUAAAUAUCACAGAUUCACAAGGUCGCUUGUCUAGCCAAUUAAACAAGCCCUCAUCCCUUAGACCGGUUGAGGUUGAAUCGGUUGUUUGGACCGGCUUCGUCAAUGGUCCAAUAGGAUAAACUGGCACCCUAGCCACUCUGCCCAAGAGUCCCUCAUCCCGUAACAUAUCUAUUGUUUUGUGCUCCAAGUCCUCCCAUGUGUUCAUCAAAAUCCCAUCACUCUUCGGGAAAUUAGUACAAACUCUUUACGUAUUCCAAAUACUAUUGGUCAGUCCGGUCCAGCAUCGGGUCAACCACGUCUUCGGGCUGAAUGGGCUUGCAACCCAGAAUUCUCAGCGGUUCAGUCUGGUCUACGUACUCUCAUUCCACUUCUUUAUCAAAAACUGGCACGUAGAUAGUCAAAGCUACGAACCAUGUUGUGCUAGCAAUGUAAACAUACUUGGGAAUCCCCAGCUCGUCGCCGAUUGACAGAGAUUCGGUGCUGAAAAGGUCCACAAUAAGCACUGUAGGAAGAAGAGAAUACUUCAUUCCAAGUAUGGCUGACCGAAACGCAGGUCGUACUUCACACAUCAUGACUGCAAGGAGGGUAGCGACAGCAACGUCGGGGCCAAUACAGCCGGAAAUGUCUGGCGGUGGGAGUUCAAUAAUGUCAAAAAGUUUGGGGGUGGCGGCUGCCUUGAGGAGCUCAGACUCAGUCUUGGAAGCAGGAGAUGGGAUGGCAAAAAUCGUCACGGUGAAAUUCCGGUGGGUGAGAAGUCGUUUUGCGAGUUCGAGGACGGGGAUGAGGUGGCCGAGGCCUGGGCUGCAAAGUAUGGCAGCAUGUGGCUGUGAGCUCGUGGUAGACGAAGGGCAAUGGCUUUAGCCAUUAGUGCACCGGUUGAGCUUUAAAAAGGAAAACAAGCAAAUCAAAAUAAUCUUUGGACAAGUUUACUUUUAGAUUAAUACCUUAAUUAAGAUUAAAAAUUAAAUUAAAUUCCUUAACCUCAUGUCCAUAUCAGCAUGCAUAUUCCAACUCGUACUUUAUUUUUAUUUUUGUUUUAGGAUUUUGUUUUGGGAUUUAGAUCCUCUCCUGAGCUAAUGGAGAUGAUCCUUCUGACCAGGCUAUAAUUAUUAUAACUUUAAAGAGGAUCCAAAUCUUAAAAAAGAAAAAAAAUUAAUUAAUUAGAAAACUAUGUUUUAUUUCAAAUAGGAUUUUUAACAAAUUCUAUCAUGCCACAUGUCAUUAUCUAAAAUUAUAAUUUUUCUGAAUAGAUUUUUUAUUAUAUUUUUAACAAAUCCCCGUGGUGCCACGUGUUAUGAUUCUGGAAGAAUUUUAUAGAUAGGUUUUCAAUAAGAAUUUCAACUAAUCUCAUCACGUCAUGUGUCACUAUCCAAGAAUAUCAAGGGAUAACUUUUUUUUAUUUUUUCAAUUUUUAAGUCGAAAAAAUCUGGACCAUUGAUGAUAUAGCCAUUACAUAAUCGAACGGCCCACGAUACACCCCAUGUACUUGUCAUUAAGAAUGAGUUCAAAAUUUUAAAGCUAUUGGAAAUUUAACGGCACCUAAAUUUAGUCGUUGGAAAUUCAACGUACAACAAUUGCCCACGUUGCCCCUAAUUCGGAUGGGUUGAGUGCACCUGCAGAGCAACUUUUUGUUCGGGUCAUUCUUGCUGACUCUUGUGUGAAAGUCCCCACGCUUGACGCAAAAAAAAUAUUAAUGUGGCUGACAUCAAAUGGACUCAGGUGCAUACCCGCGACUUCUAUGUAACUAGAUAAUAGAGAAACUAAUAGAAACUAAGACUGUUUUACGAAAUUAAAAUGAAAUAGUAAGUAAAUAUAAGAGGUUGAAAUGUUUAAUAUGUUGUAUGAAGUUGUAAUUCAACACAAACUUCAAAAUGCAAAAUGUAAAUUACCCUAAGUUUUUAAUAUCUAACCAAGAAAGAAAAGAAUUGGGUCGCAAUAAAAUCGUGGUUAGCUAUCCUUCAUAGUUUGGGUUUUUGAUGUUUAAAGUUGUUCAGAAGGCGCUUUAGUAGUCAAUUUCGAAGCCCUCAGAAACCAUUGGUCUGUUUUAAUAGGGAAAGUAUGAAUAAAGGUCAUAUUUUAUUUCCAAUUUUAAUGUAGCCACUAGUACAGAAAACACUUUGUGCAACUUAGGUCUUUCGUUGCGCAAAGUAAAAAAACGUCGUGCAAAAAUUAGCCCAACGAACCUUCAUCGCACGCCAACGGUCGCGCCAAGGCAAUGACAACAUGACACACCCCGACCCAGAGUAUCCACUAGGAUUCCGACUCGAGUCGUGCUAGCCGACACCUGGAAGAUGACGAAGCCAUAAAGUGUGAUAACGUGGAAAAAGUGAAUAAAUUUAAACCUAAGAGUGCCUAAAUACCAGAGUAUGCUAGUGAACGGGAACGAACCCACUUCACACGUGACGUUAAAGCAUAAGUAAGUACAGUAGAGUGGAUAAGGAUUUUACCCUCAGAAGUAGCCACCUAUCCUGAGAUUUGCCAAUAAUCCUCGUCGAUACGAACAUUCAACAAUUAAAACCUGGAAGGCUGCCAAACAGAAUAUUUGAGUGGGUAAAAACAAAACGUUUGAAACCAUAAUUAUCUUUAUAGUAAUCCUCUUUGCAAAACUGUAUAAUUUCUGAGAAUUCACUAUGUAUAAGUAUGAUAUCAAAUGUACGCUAACAUUAAAUCCAGAAGUAUACCAUAACACAGCAGCUCAACAGAAAUAUAAAUAAUUGUCUGCUUAAUAAUCCAUACUAGUACGCAAGUCGGAGUCACCUAUGGUGACCUGUACAACUGCACCCAUAUCUCAUCAAUCAAUGCUAGAACAUAAGUCGGAGUCACUUAUAGUGACCUGUACGACUUAUCCAUAUGUCAUCAAUCAAUUCUAGCUCAUAACGGAGUCACCUAUAGUGACCUGUACGACUUAUCCAUAUCUUAUCAGUCAAUGAUAGCUCAUAAGUCGGAGUCAUUUAUAGUGACCUGUACGACUUAUCCAUAGCUCAUCACAUAUCCCUGCACACGAGUCGGAACCACCUAUAGUAGUCUCUACGACAAGACUAGGUGUAAAUAAGUACGCUCAAGUGCUACGAUCAUGUGAAGAGUGUGUGAAUAAAUGCGGGUUACCUACGAGUCGGAACCACCUAUAGUGGUCUGUAUGACAGGACUGUGCACCUACCUUGGAUCCAAGGUGAGCAUAAAGUGCGGGAGGUGAACAUCACGUGAAGGACUGUGCCCUGGCCAUGAGCGGGAGCACUAACACCGAGGUGCAGGUUUAUGAGCUCUAAAUGAAUCUAUUGUAACAUAUAUGACUCAUGGGUAACCUGUACGAUAGUGUCGGAGUUGCCUAAAACUUACAUGUAGUCAUACCAUAACUCCAUCAUUUCUACUAAUACCAUAAACUCACAUGAACUUACCUGGGUGUCCUGCGUUCACCUUUGCACUUCAAAGCAUUCAUAAUAAUUAUGUGCAUGUAAUAUUGUUGACCCUAAAAACUACUAAGCCUACGUGGCCUUCGGUGAAUGCGGGGCGUGCCAACUCGUCGGUCGAGCUCGGCCAAGGAGUAAAUUUGUUGAUGUUGCGUUGGGUGCGCUGCUGACUUCCGAAUCUCGCGACUACGGCCGAGGAAGGAACACUCUUGGCCUUCGGGUUCUAGAGCUUGAAGACAAGGCUGCUAGUUCUGCAAAGUUCAAUAUCAAAUUCGGCUUUCAAUAUGCCGAAUGUAAUAACUUGUAACACCUCACUUCGCCAAGAAGGCUAAUGAGAUGACCUCGACCAAUAAGGAUUCAGAAAUCCUUCUCGACCGAGACUUGGAUAGAUAACCAACCGUCCUCGCCGUAGUGUUGUUGAUGCCAACGAAAGAUGCUACGAGAUCGGCUGAUUAUACGGCGACAGAGCUAUCUAUGCCAACUGAAGAUAUCAUCGGUUGCUUUCACAGUGCUGUUGAUGUCAACAGAAGAUGUGUCAGCGAAAAGAGAAAAUAAAAAUCUCAAGUUGUUGAGAGAGUUUGCGCAGGGCAGUUGUGUGUUGAAUUGGAAGUCCUUAAAUGUUGCACGGCAUCUUGUAUUUAUAGGGAUGAGUUAGCAGUUCUAUAUGUGCUUCGCGCGUACCAUCCGUAGCUGGCCACAACUUGAACCCCCUGAAGAUAAGCAUUCCAUACAAAUAAAAACUCUUGAUAGCCAUCCCAACGUCAAUUAGCCGUUUAACAAUGACCCAUCAUCAUUGGCUAUUGGCCAUUGGAUUUGACGAAACCAAGUCAAUUUGCAUAGACAUGAAACUCUUCCUAUAGCAUCAUGAGAAACCAUGCAAUAUUAGUACCCAUAUUCAUGUCUAGGUGCAUUAGCCCAUGCUGUGCUUCCACCUGAAGGAUAUGCUAAUUAUUAGCAUAUAUUUCUAUGCUAACAAUUAUCCUAAAUCAGAAUAUGCCGCACCAUUAUCUCAGAUAGCACCACUAAUCAAAAGGUAACCUUCAUGCAUGGUUAACCGACUCCAAGCAUACGUCUAAAUGCCGAGAAUCCCAAAUCAAAUCAAACUACAUAGCUCGCUUUCAAGUUGGAGAUAUAAUUUGCAUCCUAUUUAUCCCGUAUGAGAGAAUUUCAAGAUAAUUCAUAUUAAAAGAUAAUUAUUAUGAUAAAACCAUAAUAUUAUCCUUUAAUAAUAAUAAUAAAAUUAUCUUCACUUUUCCAUCCAAUGGUUGGAAGCUAUGCUCACUCAACAGCCUUGACUACACGGACCGAUGGUGUAAAUUCGGGUCCAAACAAAUAUACAUAUAGAUAAACCAUGAUGCAAUCUGAUACUCAACCAUGUUAUAGCAUUUCCAUUUACACACACACACACACACACACACACACACACAUAUAUAUAUAUAUAUAUAUAUAUAUAUAUAUAUAUAUAUAUAUAUAUAUAUAUAUAUAUAUAUAUAUAUAUAUAUAUAUAUAUAUCUCACAUUUUCUACCAAUGUCCCUCACAUUGCUUAAUUCCCUAAACAAGGCUAUUGUCUCAAUUAUUUAGUCUCAUUUAUUGUAUGGUUGCAUCUAACGUCUCGUUAGACUGCCUACGUACCCUAAACAGGGAUUAAGCCAUUCGUAGUUCACAUUAGUACUUCAAAGCAUUCACAGUAAUUAUAUGCAAUAAUCAAUUUAUAACCGUUUGUGGAAUUAUCAAUCAUAUAUAUAUACCAUAUAAAGGAAAAGACCCACUUACUUGAGGUCCACGCUAAGACUCCCUAGCACGCAUACCGAGACAUCACGAACCAUCGUCGCCUAUGACCAAUUAUCAAAUCACAUCUCAGAGUUCAUACCGAUAAAAUACACAAUUUACAUAAAACAAACCCUACGUAAUUCAAUUCGGAAGAUAACAGAUUUCCGAUCCGUUGCUUCCAAAGAUCCACAUUAUACUUCUAGAACAACAUUCUAAAGUCCCAUUACGAUCCAACGGUCGGAUCUCUGCCAAUUGUCAAAACCAAGUGGCAAUUAACCUUUUAUUUUAUGAACUUACAAAUCCAAUUCGGGAAGAUCCGUAUAUCGGAUUCCUGACCCGUAAGUUCCUAUGGUCCUCAAAUAUUACGUACUAUAACGUAUUAAAGUUUGGUGACGAUCCGACGGUUGGAUCGUCGAUUCAUACAAUGACCUAUUAACGUAACGUAGAGAAUUUAGAUUCCAACGAUCAACCUACAUCAUACAACUACCAAAAAUGAACUCGAGACAUCUAAUUAGCCUAAGAUUAACAUCAACGGCCCCGGCCACGCGCCGCCGUGGGUAGUGGUCGGCCGUCCCGAACCGCCGAAAAAUCCAACUAUUUCCAAAAAUUACUAAAAUUUACAGAAUUGUAGGUCUCAAUGAGUGAAGCAACUUUCAUACGUGUGACCAAGGCCAAUUAGGCUGAGAAACACCUCAAUUUUACAUAAAUCCGUUGGAAACCUUAAAUAGGGGCUACUUCGAUUCGACCUCCAUGCUCACUCCGACGCCUCCACAAGUGUUUGGGCUUUGUUCCUGAGGUUGAGGGGAGUCUAUUGGUGGUGGUAAUUGGAGGAGGUAGCUUCAAAUCAUGGCAGAAUAGAACCCAACCAGUGCGCCCCUUCUUGUACGGUUUUACCCAAAAUUCACCAAAUUUCCACCCAAUUUUCACAUGAAAAUGGAAAAGGGAUCGGUUGGCCUUGUGGUAAGGGUCAUUUUGACACUAACCUUGUCGUCCAAGGUGGCGAGAGAUGGGAGAAUCCACCGGGUUGGGUCACGAGUUAAGGGAAACUCGAUUUCCCCUUUUUCUUUUCUCCUUCAUUUCCCCUCCUUUCCUUCCUCUGGUUGGUCACCUUCACUCUCUCUCUUCCUUCCCUUGGCCGAAGCUCUCUCUCCCUUCCUCUUUGAUUGGGCAGCCAAUACCCCUUCUUCUUUUUCCCCUUCUCCCCCUGUUUCUUCUUCUCUUUCCCUCAAUUUUUACCAAAGGUAAUCUUAAAAUAAUGUAAUGGUACUUAAGAAAAUAUAUAAAAUAAUAAAUGGUAAUAUCAAUACCCCAAUCCGCUUUUGCUUACGCCUACACAGCCAUAUUGUCGAGUACUACAGAAAUACGCUAAAGGAAUAUUUCAUACGUCUCACUAUACGUUGGUCAACGAAAGUCAAUACCCUCGCCUCUCAGGGCAUUUUCGUAAAUUCACACGUUUAAAAUUUAUAAAAUCAUAGAACUAGGGACGGGUUGUCACACAACAUGGUUUGCACGACGAAGAAGUAACCUAUGUCACUCAAAGUAGUUUUGCACAACGUAGGUUACUUCUUUGUCGCACUAACCCUUUUUUUUGGUAAAAAUAUUUUUUAUUUAAUUUUUAAUAAAUAUUAUAAUUAAAUUCUAAACAAUAAUUAAUAAACCAAGAAAAUUUAUUUAAUUAUAAAAUAUAUAAAAAUGUAUAUACAAGAUGUCCGAACAAAAAAGAAAAAACUACAACAAGUAGUCUUCUAGGUUUGAUGCUUAAUGUUUUCUUCUAUUAUAAAUUCUCUCCAUGUAAGAUUAAUUGGUUAAGCUAAAUUAUCAAUUAAAAUGUACUUUUAUUGAUAAUUUCAGGGAUGUAACACGAUCAUCGGCAUGCCAUGCAUGAGUUAAUUCAGCUUUAAGCUCAUGCAACCGAGAAACAUAUUCCUGGCCCAUGAUGACCUUGCCCCCCUCUUCUGCAAAUUUUUCUAGAUCUUCCAGUUCCUCCAAAUGCAAGCUUGUCGAAGGUUUCUCAUGUGCUGUAAAUUCAUAUCAGUAAAACAAACCAAAGUGACUAUCAUAAUUGCUCAGUUGGGCAACAAAAAUACUUCUGAAAUGAAUACUUGUUCCAAAAAAUUGUAGGAACAAAGCAAAGGAGGCUGACAAAUUUUUCCUACCUUUUGUCAUGUCUAGGGAUGGGCAAAGGUUAUGGUAGAUGGGUAACCGUGGUUAUUUACCCAUAACCAUUUAUGUUCAUACCCGUAUAACCGUUUACCCAUUGGGUAAUACAUAAACAGUUAUACCCAUACCCAUAACCGUUUAUAAACGGUUAACCAUAUCCAUAACCGUAUACCCAUUUAACCAUAACCAUUUACCCGUUUUUGAACCCGUUUAUCCUUUUUUUUUUUACCCAUUUGCCCCUUUUUCACCCGUCUACAUGUUUUCUUUUAACAACUAGAAAAUUAUAAAAGAAAAGUUUGUCAUAAUUUUCGUUAUACCCAUGGUAUGUGCUUACCAAUACAUCGUUAUAACGGGUAUCAAUUUAAAGCAGUUUGUACAAAACCUAGCUAGUUCUGGAAUCACAAAUGCUCGGCUUUCUCCACCAUCUCAUGCUAUUUCAGAUGAUGGUAUGCAUCUGUCCUAAACUCUCUUUCGAACCUUGUCAUUAGUCCAGACCAGAUUUUGUUUUUUAAGUUUUUGUGUAAUAUGACAAUUCUUGUACUGAGGCUUCACCUCAUAGCUUUCCUUUCUACGGAUACAUGCCGAGAAGGCUCUAUGAUCUCAAUACAAAAUAUAUAAACAAAGAUGAAUUAAAGUCACUGGUAAGCACAUACCGCGGCAAUGGAAUACAAUCUGUGGCAGAUAUAGUACCCGUUAUAACCGUUAUAUAUUGAAAAUUACAAUAUAUAAACAAAGAAGACUUUCGUUACAAAAGUAAAAAACAAAAAUAAAGAUUAGUUUUUCAUAUAUUAAAUUAAAUCGGUAAAUGGAUACCCGUUAUAACCGCGGGUAAUACUCAUAACCGCCCAUUUAAAUUUCAUGGAUAAACAGUUAUACCCAUAACCGUAACCGUGAACUUUAAAUUGGUGUAACCGCGGUUACCCAAACCCAUGGGUAUUUUGCCUAUCUCUAGUCAUGUCGGACAUCUGUAAGUGAUAAGAAAAAGGAAAAUAAAAAGUUAGAAGAUAGGUUACAGCUUUCAGUGAGAAACUUAAGGAAGUAAAUAGCUGGAUGAGAAUAGAAGGUAUGGAAAACCAAAAUUUCCUAGAUAGAUAAUAGAGAAACUAAUAGAAAUUGAGAUAGCUGUACGAAAUUGAAAUGAAAUAGUAAGUAAAAGUAUGAGGUUGAAAUAUUAUAAAGGGAGUAAUGCUAGGAAGACUAAAUUUGCAGAUAAAAUUUACAAGCCAAAUUAUGUGUCACCAAUAAGAAAUAAAUAUGUUAAUCAAAACUUAAAUAAUAGUCAAAUUAUCAACAACCACAUCAUAUAAUUUACAAAAUUUGUUUUCAAAUUUAGUUUACCUAGCAUUACCCUUUUAAAAAUGUUGUAUAAGGUUGCAAUUAAUCACAAACUUAAAGAUGCAAAAUGUAAUUUACCCUAACUUUUGAUAUCUAAGUUCUAACGAAGAAAGAAAAGAAUUGGAUCGUAAUCAAAUCGUGAACUGUCCACGGUUUGGGCUUUUGAUGUCUAAAGUUGUUCACGUGGUGCUUCAAUACUCAAUUUCCAAGCCCUCAGACACCACUGGUCUGUUUUAAUAGGGAAAGUAUGAAUAAAGGUCAUAAUCAAUUUCAUCUUUUUAGUGAAGCCCAGCAAAGAUCGAUGUAAAACAAAGAAAUUUUCAAGCUUACCUAAUACCUAUUUAACAAUCCGCAAAACCGAUUUUAAUAUGUUCUUUUGCAUUAGUGUGUAUAUCAAAUUCAAACCAAUAAAGCCAAAACAAACUGAUAGCUACCCUUAAUUAAGAUUUUGUUUGAAAUUUUGUUGUAACAUUACCUUAAGAUUACCCAUUAGUUAUGCAACUAUUAGCUGAUUAUGUCUUUCUAGCAUGUUUAUUGAUAUGAUAUUUACGUAAUUAGGCUUGGCUACGGAGGCUUAUAUUAAAUCCUUUCGUUUAGGACUUAAACCUAUUUAUUGGAGAUGGUCUUACGUCUAUUUGCCAAGCUACCUGCUUCUCGUGAAUUUAACAUGAUUGUUAAAAAAAAUUGGCACUUAGUACUACAGUCUGGUGGUAUUCCUCUUCACUUAGAAGUGAGAGGUCUUAGGUUCGAAUCUCAUGAAUAGAGAAUUCGAUACUAAAUUAGGAUGCCCAUUGUUUAGCUUAACUGAACUCUCCCUUCUUUUAGUGAAAAAAAUAUCAAUGUACUAAAAAAAAAAUUGACUGAACCGAGUUAUGCAGACUUAAAAAAAAUAAAAAAUUGACUGACACAAGUUAUGCAGCAUGAAUAUUCAUCCAUGUAUGAUAACAAAAUAGAUACUUCUUUUUAAAGGGAAAUAUAUAUAUAUAUAUAUAUAUAUAUAUAUAUAUAUAUGUGUGUGUGUGUGUGUGUGUGUGUGUGUGUGUGUGUGUGUGUCUAUAUAAACUUUAAUAUUCAUAACUUCUUCAAUACUCAACGAAAUCAAGUGAUUCAAAAAUGAAAAUCAUACUUCUCGAUGAGACGAAGAGAAUGAUCCUUUUUUGUUGACAGUUAACUAAAGUUAUGAAUGUUUAAAGUUUACCUAGUUUCAGGCGAGUUUUUCAAUUUUCCUUCGGACCAAACAACUUUGCAGCUAUUUUCUGACCAUCUCCCGCAACCAUUGGGCUUCCAAAUAGGUGUAAUCUUAUUCUACACUUUCCUGUCUUCAUUUUGAUAUAUUAUGGGUCGAAUUUGGUUAAGAAACGAUUGAGUUACGAAGCUUUGAAAAUUGCCCAAACUUCCGGCCAAGAGCUCUGGGACACUUAACGGAGUUUUUAACGGAAUGACCAAAAUGAUGGAUGGUGGAAAAUCUCAGGGUCAUUUAUAUUGAUUUGAAAUCUCAGGAAUCAAAAUGAAGAGUUAUGCAAAUCUCAGGAACCAUUUUCGCGAGUUAGCCAUAUAUAUAUAUGUGUGUGUGUGUGUGUGUGUGUGUGACCAGACCAAUUGGUGUGAUUGAGAACAAAAAGAGAACAAAAUUUAUUCUGCACAUGUAAUUUGCCCAAUAGUAGAGAAUACACACCAUUUUGCCAUAUAUCUUAUUGAUGUUUAUACAUCAUCAUACAAUAUUCAAACAGAUUUUUAACUAAAAUGGUUGCUAAGAUUGACCUAAAUCCUCAAUUUGGUCACUAAUAAAGUUUGUUCAUUUUUAUUGUUAAGGACUAAACUGAGAAGUUAAGACAAUUCUCAAGAUUAUUUAGGUUAAAAUGCCUAUUGAAAACAACAAGCAUAUUUGAGAGCCUUCACAUUCUCCAACUCUCCUAGCAUUUUCUUUCAUUGCCACUUGAUAUUUGAGACAGUGCAUUAUAUGACGAACCACCUACGCUCCAUGCUUUGGCAGCACUUAAUUUAAGCCCCUUAACCCUACCUCUUAUGGCCUGACCAUCUUUGUCCACCAUGAUCUUUCUCACCAUUUCCUUUAUCUCUUCCCUGCCAACCAUUUUCUUCGAUGGUAGCACUUUUGAUCUGACGGCAACACCAAGUUCCUCAGUCAACAUUGUAGCGUUCAUCCUCUGCUCCGCAUAGAGUGGCCAAACCAUCAUCGGUACUCCAUUGGUCAUGCUCUCGAGGCUUGAGUUCCAUCCACAAUGUGACCAAAAUCCUCCUAUUGAUGGAUGACUUAAAAUGUCCACUUGAGACACCCAAAGAGGCACAACCAACCCAACGUCAUGAGUCCGGGUCAAGAAUCCUUUGGGCAAAUAGGUUGAUGGGUCAUCGUCUUGAUUUCCUUAAAUAAAAUUACUAAAUGUAAAUGAAGGUAUCGAUUGUAACACAAUAUCAAUAAUUUAUCAAAUACUACAAAUUAGUACAUUACAUAUAUAAGAAUUUCUAUGAAGAUAACAAUUAAAAUUUGAUGAUAUAUAUUAGGUAAGUUUGAAAAUUACCUGAAGUGAAAAAAGCAGCAUCUGCGGAUCUAGCCGGUGGUCGUACAACCCAAAUGAAUCUUUGUUGACUCAAUUCCAAACCCCAAGCCAUUUCUGUCAUCUGCUCCAAGGACACAGUCCCUCCACUCCCUAAUGACACAAAUAUCACAGAUUCACAAGGUUGCUUGUCUAGCCAAUUAAACAAGCCUUCAUCCCUUAUACCGGUUGAGGUUGAACCGGCUGAUUGGACCUGCCUCGUCAAUGGUCCAAUGGGAUAAACUGGCACCUUAACCACUCUGCCCAAGAGUCCCUCAUCCCGUAACGCAUCUAUUGUUUUGUGCUCCAAGUCUUCCCAUGUGUUCAUCAAAAUCCCAUCACUCUUCGGGAAAUUAGUAUCUAUCCUUACAUAUUCCAAAUAUUGUUGGUCAAUCCGGUCCAGCAUCGGGUCAACCACGUCUUCGGGCUGAACGGGCUUGCAACCCGGAAUUCUCAGCGGUUCAGUCUGGUCCACAUACUCUCCUUCCACUUCUUUAUCAAAAACUGGCACGUAGACAGUCAAGGCUACGAACCAUGCAGUGCUAGCAAUGUAAACGUACUUAGGAAUCCCCAGCUCGUCGCCAAUGGACAGAGAUUCGGUGCUGAAGAGGUCAACGAUAAGCACUGUAGGACGAAGAGAAGACUCCAUUCCAAGUAUGGCUGACCGAAACGCAGGUCGUGCUUCACGCAUCAUGACAGCAAGGAGGGUAGUGACAGCAGCAUCGGGGCCAACACAGCCGGAAAUGUCGGGCGGUGGGAGUUCAAUAAUGUCAAAAAAUUUAGGGGUGGCGGCUGCCUUGAGGAGCUCAGACUCAGUCUUGGAAGUAGGAGAUGGGAUGGCGAAGAUCGUCACGGUGAAAUUCCGGUGGGUGACAAGUCGUUUUGCGAGUUCGAAGGCGGGGAUAAGGUGGCCGAGGCCUGGGCUGCAAAGUAUGGCAGCAUGUGGCUGUGAACUCAUGGUAGACGGAGAGCGAUGGCUUUAGCCCUUAGUGCACCAGUUGGGGUUUUUUUUUUUUUUUUGAACAAUUGCGCAUGGCAGUUUGUGUGUUGAACUGGAGUCCCUUAAUGUUGCACAGCCUUCAUGUAUUUAUAACGUUGGAUAUCUACCUGGCACAACCUGAUGGUGCUUGUAGAGUCCAAUUGCAAUUCUUUUCCACGGAACAAAAACUAAUCCACAUCAAAGAACUACCAUAUCCUUCAAAUAGAUGUUCACGAUUUUCCAAACUUCACAAAAGCCUAUCCAAAUAAAAGUCUUAUCACCAUAGCCUAGCCUAUCUAGGCUUGUCAUCGUUAUCCAAGACUAUUAAAUCUUAGACUUAUCACAUCACCAUAAAAAACCAAGCCUAUCUAGACUUCUCCAUAAUCCAUCCAUGCAUGCACCAUGACUUUUCAAACCUCAUCUACCAAGUUUCUCCAAUCUAAUAGCAAUAAUCCCAAGUUCACUCGAAUUGUACUUGUUCGUAGAUAUAAUGCUAAGAUAAUCCAAAUUACAAAAUAAUUACUAUGACAAAAACCAUAAUAUUAUCCUUUAACAAAAAUAUCUUCACUUUUCUAUCCGACGAUUGAAAAAUAUGCUUACUCAACGGCCUUGAUUACACAGGCCGAUGGUGUAAAUUUGGGUCCAAACAAAUGCAUUUUAUAAUUAACUCAUUUUCCCAAUACAAAUCUCAUAAAGAAAAUGAAACAUAAAAUCAAAAGUUUGUAUUUCUUUAAUGGCCUAUUUGCUUCACUUUAACUAGCAUAUGGGCACACGCACAAUUUUUUAUUUUUGUUUUUGAAAUAGAAGAAGAGAGGAAGAGAGGAAGAGAGUGAUAGAGAAUGUGGGAGUGAGAAUUUUUUUUUUUUUUUAAUUAGAGAUGUUAGGAUUACAUGUAGGUGAUGUUUUGAAAAAAAACAACAAAAUUUGGUUUUGUGAAAUUUCAUUUUUGCCUCAUAUUUCUUAUUCAUAUUUUGUUUUAAUUAAAGUGUUAAACUGAUAAUUUCAUAGGAUUUUGGUUGACAAUGAAUGUUUUAUUAAUUAGUAAAGAUGAUCUAGGUUGCAAUCACCAAUAAUUUAAAAGAAAAUAUAAAUUUGCCCUCUCACAUAGAGCUAAGUGCAGUAUAGCGACAGCGACGGUAACACACUUGAAUUUCAUUUAAACAUUUUGUCAAAUACCUUCGGUGCAAAUUUUAAGGGACAAAUUCUUAAUGUUUCAUGAAUCUUUUUUACGACCGAAAGGACGACCGCCCCUCUUGCUCUAUAUGGCCACCGCUCAAAGAUGACAGAUAUUAACUGGCAAGGAAAGCCAAGUCUCGUGGCAAUUUUUAUCUUUAUUUGAAGAGGUGACAAAUACUUUUCUGUAGGGGAGCUUUCUGGGUGUCGUUGAUUGCGUAUUAUUUCAAGAGGCGUAUUCAUAUGAAAUGCUACUGAAGGAUCGGCAUCAGUGAUAGGUACAAUCAUAUUUAUCUCUUUCAUUCCUCUUAAAAUAUCUUUCUAUGAUAUGUUACCGAGAAAUAAAACUAUGACAAUCAGAUCAAUAAUUUUCUUCUGGUUAAUUUAAUUUCAUAUUUUCUUUUAAUUUCUUACAUAUGAGUAAAUAUGAGAAAUGUUGGAAUGAAAUUGAAUCCAUAAUCUUAUUGAUGUUUGUACAUCAUCAUACAAUAUUCAAACAGAUUUUUAACUAAAAUGGUUGUUGAGAUUGACCUAACUCCUCAAUUUGGUCACUAAUAAAGUUUGUUCAUUUUUAUUGUUAAGGACUAAACUGAGAAGUUAAGACAAUUCUCAAGAUCAUUUAGGUUAAAAUUCCUAUUGAAAACAACAAGCAUAUUUGAGAGCCUUCACAUUCUCCAACUCUCCUAGCAUUUUCUUUCAUUGCCACUUGAUAUUUGAGACAGUGCAUUAUAUGACGAACCACCUACACUCCAUGCUUUUGCAGCACUUAAUUUAAGCCCAUUAACCCUACCUCUUAUUGCCUGACCAUCUUUGUCCACCAUGAUCUUUCUCACCAUUUCCUUUAUCUCUUCUCUGCCAACCACUUUCUUCGAUGGUAGCACUUUUGAUCUGACAGCAACACCAAGCUCCUCAGUCAACAGUGUAGCGUUCAUCCUCUGCUCCCCAUAGAGUGGCCAAACCAUCAUCGGUACCCCAUUGGUGAUGCUCUCGAGGCUUGAGUUCCAUCCACAGUGCGACCAAAAUCCUCCUAUUGAUGGAUUACUUAAAAUGUCCACUUGAGACACCCAAAGAGGCACAACCAACCCAACGUCAUGAGUCCGGGUCAAGAAUCCUUUGGGCAAAUAGGUUGAUGGGUCAUCGUCUUGAUUUCCUUAAAUAAAGUUACUAAAUGUAAGUGAAGGUAUCGAUUGUAACACAAUAUCAAUAAUUUAUCAAAUACUACAAAUUAGUACAUUACAUAUAUAAGAAUUUCUAUGAAGAUAACAAUUAAAAAUUGAUGAUAUAUAUUAGGUAAGUUUGAAAAUUACCUGAAGUGAAAAAAUCAGCAUCUGCGGAUCUAGCCGGUGGUCGUACAACCCAAAUGAAUCUUUGUUGACUCAAUUCCAAACCCCAAGCCAUUUCUGUCAUCUGCUCCAAGGACACAGUCCCUCCACUCCCUAAUGACACAAAUAUCACAAAUUCACAAGGUUGCUUGUCUAGCCAAUUAAACAAGCCCUCAUCCCUUAUACUGGUUGAGGUUGAACCGGCUGAUUGGACCUGCCUCGUCAAUGGUCCAAUGGGAUAAACUGGCACCUUAGCCACUCUGCCCAAGAGUCCCUCAUCCCGUAACGCAUCUAUUGUUUUGUGCUCCAAGUCUUCCCAUCUGUUCAUCAAAAUCCCAUCACUCUUCGAGAAAUUAGUUCCUAUCCUUACAUAUUCCAAAUAUUGUUGGUCAAUCUGGUCCAGCAUCGGGUCAACCACGUCUUCAGGCUGAACGGGCUUGCAACCCGGAAUUCUCAGUGGUUCAGUCUAGUCCACGUACUCUCCUUCCACUUCUUUAUCAAAAACUGGCAUGUAGACAGUCAAGGCUAUGAACCAUGCAGUGCUAGCAAUGUAAACGUACUUAGGAAUCCCAAGCUCGUCGUCGAUAGACAGAGAUUCGGUGCUGAAGAGGUCCACGAUAAGCACUAUAGGACGAAAAGAAAACUCUAUUCCAAGUAUGGCUGACAGAAACGCAUGUCGUGCUUCACGCAUCAUGACUGCAAGGAGGGUAGCGACAGCAGCAUCGGGGCCAACACAGCCGGAAAUGUCGGGCGGUGGGAGUUCAAUAAUGUCAAAAAAUUUGGGGGUGGCGGCUGCCUUGAGAAGCUCAGACUCAGUCUUGGAAGUAGGAGAUGGGAUGGCGAAGAUCGUCACGGUGAAAUUCCGGUGGGUGACAAGUCGUUUGCGAGUUCGAAGGCGAGAAUAAGGUGGCCGAGGCCUGGGCUGCAAAGUAUGGCAGCAUGUGGCUGUGAGCUCAUGGUAGAAGGAGAGUGAUGGCUUUAGCCCUUAGUGCACCGGUUGGGGUUUUUUUUUUUUUUUUUUGAACAAAAGUGCACCGGUUGAGCUUUAAAUAGGGACAACGAGCGAAUCAAAAUAAUCUUUGCUCUAAAAUCGUUGGACAAGAUUACUUUUAGAUUAAUACCUUAACUAAGAUUAAAAAUUAAAUUAAAUUCCUUAACCUCAUGUCCAUAUCAGCAUGCAUAUUCCACCCCGUACUUUAUUUUUAUUUUCGUUUUAGGAUUUUUAUUUUUGUAAUGUUGUUGACCUUAAAAACUACCAAGCCUAUGUGGCGCGCAGGUCGAGUAACUAAUUAGCUAACUACGUCUUUUGGUUGUAUGCGGGUGUGCCAACUCGUCGACCAAGCUCGACCGAGGAGUAAAAUUUGUUGAUGUUGCGUUGGGUGCGCUGCUGACUUCUGAAUCUCGCGACUGUGGCCGAGAAAUGAACACUCUCGGCCUUCGGGUUCUAGAGCCUGAAGACAAAGCUGCUAGUUCUACGAAGUUCAAUAUCAAAUUCGGCUUUCAAUGUGUCGAAUGUAAUAACUUGUAACACCUCACUUCGCCGAAAAGGCUAAUGAGAUGACCUCUGCCAAUAAGGAUUCAAAAAUUCUUCUCGACCGAGACUUGGAUAGAUAACCAGUCGACCUUGACGCAGUGCUGUUUAUCCAAACUGAAUGUGCUCCAUGGUCGGCUGAUUCUAAGGCAACAGUACUGUUUAUCCAAACUGAAGAUGUUCACCGGUUCCCUUCACAGUGUUGUUUAUCCAAACUAAAAUGUGUUGGCGAAAAAGAAAAUAAAAAAUCUCAAGAUGUUUGGAGGUUUUGCGUAGAGCGAGGGUUUGCGCAUGGCAGUUUGUGUGUUGAACUGGAGUCCCUCAACGUUGCACAGCCUUCAUGUAUUUAUAGCGUUGGAUAUCUACCUGGCACAACCUGAUGGUGCUUGUAGAGUCCAACUGCAAUUCUUUUCCACGGAACAAAAACUAAUCCACAUCAAAGAACUACCAUAUCCUUCAGAUAGAUGUUCACGAUUUUCCAAACUUCACAAAAGCCUAUCCAAAUAAAAGUCUUAUCACCAUAGCCUAGCCUAUCUAGGCUUGUCAUCGUUAUCCAAGACUAUUAAAUCUUAGACUUAUCACAUCACCAUAAAAAACCAAGCCUAUCUAGACUUCUCCAUAAUCCAUCCAUGCAUGCACCAUGACUUUUCAAACCUCAUCUACCAAGUUUCUCCAAUCUAAUAGCAAUAAUCCCAAGUUCACUCGAAUUGUACUUGUUCGUAGAUAUAAUGCUAAGAUAAUCCAAAUUACAAAAUAAUUACUAUGACAAAAACCAUAAUAUUAUCCUUUAACAAAAAUAUCUUCACUUUUCUAUCCGACGAUUGAAAAAUAUGCUUACUCAACGGCCUUGAUUACACAGGCCGAUGGUGUAAAUUUGGGUCCAAACAAAUGCAUUUUAUAAUUAACUCAUUUUCCCAAUACAAAUCUCAUAAAGAAAAUGAAACAUAAAAUCAAAAGUUUGUAUUUCUUUAAUGGCCUAUUUGCUUCACUUUAACUAGCAUAUGGGCACACGCACAAUUUUUUAUUUUUGUUUUUGAAAUAGAAGAAGAGAGGAAGAGAGGAAGAGAGUGAUAGAGAAUGUGGGAGUGAGAAUUUUUUUUUUUUUUUUAAUUAGAGAUGUUAGGAUUACAUGUAGGUGAUGUUUUGAAAAAAAACAACAAAAUUUGGUUUUGUGAAAUUUCAUUUUUGCCUCAUAUUUCUUAUUCAUAUUUUGUUUUAAUUAAAGUGUUAAACUGAUAAUUUCAUAGGAUUUUGGUUGACAAUGAAUGUUUUAUUAAUUAGUAAAGAUGAUCUAGGUUGCAAUCACCAAUAAUUUAAAAGAAAAUAUAAAUUUGCCCUCUCACAUAGAGCUAAGUGCAGUAUAGCGACAGCGACGGUAACACACUUGAAUUUCAUUUAAACAUUUUGUCAAAUACCUUCGGUGCAAAUUUUAAGGGACAAAUUCUUAAUGUUUCAUGAAUCUUUUUUACGACCGAAAGGACGACCGCCCCUCUUGCUCUAUAUGGCCACCGCUCAAAGAUGACAGAUAUUAACUGGCAAGGAAAGCCAAGUCUCGUGGCAAUUUUUAUCUUUAUUUGAAGAGGUGACAAAUACUUUUCUGUAGGGGAGCUUUCUGGGUGUCGUUAAUUGCGUAUUAUUUCAAGAGGCGUAUUCAUAUGAAAUGCUACUGAAGGAUCGGCAUCAGUGAUAGGUACAAUCAUAUUUAUCUCUUUCAUUCCUCUUAAAAUAUCUUUCUAUGAUAUGUUACCGAGAAAUAAAACUAUGACAAUCAGAUCAAUAAUUUUCUUCUGGUUAAUUUAAUUUCAUAUUUUCUUUUAAUUUCUUACAUAUGAGUAAAUAUGAGAAAUGUUGGAAUGAAAUUGAAUCCAUAAUCUUCUUCUCUUAAUUAAUUCUCUUUCCUGCUCAAGUCGGCUGUCACCACCCCCUCCCAGACAAGAGACUCCGCACCAACCUUUAAUUUUGAUAGAACUUAUUAACGAAGAAACUUGAGGUUUCAUCAUAAAAUCAAAGAAAAAUUAAUGAAAAUGACUUGAAAACUUUAAGUUUUAACGAUAAGAACAAAAUAAAGGGUAAAGUGAAUAGUACCAUGAUUGAUUUUUUAGUGUAAAAAUAUAAUUUUUCGUUAAAAUGAACAGUACCGGGAGUUUUUUGUUAAAAUUCCCUAAACUCAAUUGACAAUAUGAAGAGUAGUUCAAUCUCUUAUAAGCCCUUACAGGUUUCUCCUUUCAUUAAUGUGAGACUCUUUUAUCUUCACAUUCUCACAUGCUUUCUCAUUUGUGACGAAUUUUCAAGACAAACACGUGGACAACACGAAUUGGAUGACAUGAAGUAGACCUGUAAACAGGUCGGAUUUAUUGGGUUUGGGUCGGGUUUAACCCGACCCGUUAAGUUAACGGGUCAUCCGAACCCAACCCGUUAAGCUAACGGGUCACCCGAACCCGACCCGUUAACAAUUAUUUUUAUUUUUAUUUUUUGCAUAAAGUUUAUUUUUUGUCAUUAAGAUUUUACUAAAAUUACUAAAAUAUCCUCAACUAACGGGUGCUAACGGGUGUUAACGAGUCCUAACGGGUAUAACGGGUUGACCCAAAGUGACCCGUUAUUUAACGGGUUGUUAACGGGUUCACCCAUUAACGACCCGACCCGUUAAGUAUCCACCCAAAUACAAAUAUUAACGGGUUGGGUCGGAUCGAGUUAACGGGUUGGGUCCAAAAUGCCAGGCCUAACAUGAAGCACGUGCUGUUGGGUCAACCUACUCUGUUACCAUGAAGAAAACUGAGAUUCUACCAUAAAACUAAUUGGCAAUAUAGGGAGUAUCUCAAUCUCUUAUAAACCCUUACAAGAUUUAGUGAGAUUUUUUUACCUUGACAUUUUUACAAUUAAUAAUAAUUCAUAACUAGAAACCAACUACGCAAACAAAUAUCAUGGAAUUAGUGUACGAAGCUUUUACGCCAAUCAGUCAAAACAUGUGUGCAUGAUUCACGGUUUAAGGUACGUCAUAAUACAAUAUUGAUGUACUGAUAUACACAUAAUUAUAAUUAUUAGUUUAUAAUAUUAAAACAUAAGGCCUUAGAGCAACUCUACUGCAGUAAUUGCUCAGGCAAUUGGACAAAAGCAAUUAUUACUUUAGUAAAUAACCGGCCGAGUGUAUCUCUAUAUUGUAAGUGAAUUAUUAGGACAAUCGGUAUUAAAAAGUUAUUAAAAAAAAGCUAUUUUUUUAAUUAAUUAAAAAAAAUUAUGUUUUAUUUCAAAUAGGAUUUUUAACAAAUUAUGUCAUGCCACAUGUCAUUAUCCAAAUUUACAAUUUUUUCUGAAUAGAAUUUUUAUUAUAUUUUUAAGAAAUCCCCAUAGUGUUGCGUGUUAUGAUUCUGCAAGAAUUUUGUAGAUAUGUUUUCAAUAAGAAUUUUAACUAAUCUUGCCGCGCUAUGUGUCACUAUCCAAGAAUAUAAAUAGAUUAAUUUUCUUUAUUUUUUCAAUUUUUAAGUUGAAAAAAUAUGGACCAUUGAUGAUAUAGCCAUUACAUAAUCAAACGGCCCAUGAUACGCUCCAUGUACUUGUCAUUAAGAAUGAGUUCAAUAUUUUAAAACUGUUAGAAAUUUAACGGCACAUAAAUUUAGUCGUUGAAAAUUCAAUGUACAACAAUUGCCCACGUUGAGUGCACCUGCAGUGCGACUUUUUGGUCGGCUCACUCUUGACUCGUGUGCGAAAGUCCACAUGCCUGACACAAAAAAAAAAAAAAAUAUUAAUGUGGCUGAUGUCAAAUGGACUCAGGUGCAUACCUGCGACUUCUACAUAAUAACAGAGAAACUAAUAGAAACUAAGAUUGUUUUACGAAAUUAAAAUGAAAUAAUUAGUAAAUAUAGGAGGUUGAAAUAUUUAAAAUGUUGUAUGAAGUUGUAAUUGAGCACAAACUUCAAAAUGCAAAAUGUAAAUUACCCUAAGUUUUAAUAUCUAACCAAGAAAGAAAAGAAUUGGGUCGCAAUAAAAUCGUGGUUAACUAUCCUUCAUAGUUUGGGCUUUGGGCUUUUGAUGUAUAAAGUUGUUCAGAAGGUGCUUCUGUAGUCAAUUUUGAAGCCCUCAGAAACCAAUGGUCUGUUUUAAUAGGGAAAAUAUGAAUAAAGGUUAUAUUUUAAUAGGAGUUUCAACGAAACAUUCUUAGUACUGUUCACUUUAAUGAAAAAUGACAUUUUUACUCUAAAAAGUCACUCCUGGUACUAUUCGUUUACAACACGUUUUUGUCAUUUACAACUCAAAGUUUUCAAAUUUUUUUCAUUAGUUUUCCUUAUUUUAAUUUCCUCUUUUAGUGUAGCUCGUCAAAGCUCGAUGUGAGACAAAGAAAUUUUCAAGCUUACCUAAUACCUAUUUAACAAUCCGCAAAACCGGUUUUAAUAUCUUCUUUUGCAUAAGUGUGUAUAUCAAAUUCAAACCAAUCAAGCCAAAACAAAUUGAUAGCUUACCCUUAAUUAAGAUUUUGUUGGGAAUUUUGUGUUGUAACAUUACCUAGAAGUGAUGCAACUAUUAGCCGGGUAUGUCUUUCUAGCAUGUUUAUUGGUAGGAUAUUCACGUAAUUAGGCUUGGCUAGGGAGGCUGAAAUCCUAUCGUUCAGGACCUAGACCUGUCCAUUGGAGAUGGUCUUAGGUCUAUACGCCGAGCUACCUGCUUCUCAUUCAUUUGAUAUGAGUAGGAUAUGACAUAAUUAAGAACAAACAUGAGUGUUAAAGAAAACUUCAAUGAAUCAAGUUAUGCAGUACGAAUAUUAAUCCAUGUAUGAUAACAGAAUUGAUACCUCUCCUAAAAGGGGGACAUAUAUGUGUGUUUGACCAGAUCUAUUUGUAUGAUUGAGAACAAAAGAACAAAAUUCAUUUUACACAUGUUUGUGAGAUGCUAGUUUGCAUAAAAGUAAGAGAAUACACACCAUUCAACCAUAUAUUAUUGACGCUUAAACUUCACCAUACAAUAUUGAAAAAGGCUUUUUAAGUAAAAUGAUUGCUGAGAUCGACCUAACUCAUCAGUUUGAUCACUAUAACAUUUAUCGACUUUUAUGUCAUGGACUAAACUGAGGAGUUAAGUCAAAUCUCAUAGAUAAUUUUGGUUAAAACGCAUAUUGAAAAUAAGAAGCAUAUUUGAGAGCCUUCAUUUUCCGCAACUCCCUUAGCAUUUUAUUUGAUUGCCACUUGAUAUUUGAGACAGUGCAUUAUAUGAUGAACAACCUACGCUCAAUCCUUUGGCAGCGUUUAAUUUAAGCUCUUUAACCCUACCUCUUAUUGCCUGACCAUUUUUGUCCACCAUGAUCUUUCUCAUCAUUUCCUCUAUCUCUUCUCUCCCAACCACAGUCUUCAAUGGUAGCACUUUUGAUCUGACACAACACCAAGUUCCCCUGUCAAAAUUUUAGCCUUCAUCCUCUGCUCUGCAUGGAGUGGCCAAACGAUCAUCGGCACUUCAUUGGUGAUGCUCUCGAGGCUUGAGUUCCGUUCACAAUAUGAUCAAAAUCCUCCUAUUGAUGGAUGACUUAAAAUGUCUACUUGAGGGGCCCAAAGAGGCAUAACCAACCCAACGUCACGGAUCCGGGUCAAAAAUCCUUUUGGUAAAUAGGUUGAUGGGUCAUCAUCUCCAUUUCCUUAAAUAAAGGUACUAAAUGUAAAUAAAAAUAUCAAAUAUAACACAAUAUCGAUAAUGCUAAAAUAUUGUAAAUCAGUACAUUACACUAAUAAGAUUUUUUUCUCUAAAGAUAACAAUUAAAAUUUAGUGAUAUAUAUUAGGUAAGUUUGAGAAUUACCUAAAGUGUAAAAAAACAGCAUCUGCGGAUUUAGAUGGUGG
rnacentral:lncRNA from 1 species